rnacentral:lncRNA from 1 species
CAGGAAUGCCCAGGACCUCAACGCACAGAGUAGAGGCCCUGACUCCGCACACUGAGCCCCGCCCCCCUCGCCUGGAUCCCUUCUCACGCCCACCCGCUGAAGCCCACCCUGCAUCUCCACACCUCUCCAGGGCCACCCGAGAGAGGAGGAGUUCCAAGCCCUCUCUUCCACCUGCCCAGAGUUGGCAUGUGAGCUGGAUCUCCUGCCUGGGCCAGCGUCCCUGGCAAAGCCCUCUGACCUCCGUGCCACAGGGUAACCCACCGUCAUCCACACGCCCAGUAGGGAGGACUGUAGGGGGAAGGUCUUGUAGUUUGGGCAAACUGCUUUUCUCUGUGGCCUUUCCAUCUAGUCAUUUAAUUAGUGGCUUUCAUUUGAAGACUCCAUUCAAGGGGUCCCAGAGAUGAGCAGAGCUGGCCAAUAGAAGCCCUGCUUCAUGACAGGGACUUGGGCUGACCCAAACUGAGAAGUACAGAAACGAGCUUGCCUAGCUGUUGAAAUCCAGCUUAACUGGGAUUGCUUAUGUUUGUAAUGUAAAGCUAGCCAUUGUUCUCAUUUUUCCCAGUGAGAGGACUUAAAAAAAAAAAGAUUAGAAAGUUGAAAUAUAAAACCCUUUAUGGAUAUAGAUGACAGUCAAAUAUGUUAAAUAUAUAGUACUUUAAUCAUCUUAAAUGUAUGUUAACAUAUAUUUGAAAUUUUGCCAAUGAGAGCCCUGAGAAACAGAGAUGAGUAAUUUACCCAGAGACACCAGCUGGAAAAGUGAAUUGAAAGAAAUAGAAUAUACACCCAUGUAGUUGGCUUCAGAGCCCACAAUGCUGACCACUGCACUGCUUAUCUAGUUAUAAACACAUAAAAUCUCAAUUUAUAAACAUCAUUUUUUCUUUUUGUACCAAGGAUUGAAUCCACGGGUGCUUAGCAGCAGAGCUUCAUCCGUAGCCUUUUUUAUUUUUUAUUUUGAGACAGGGACUUGCUAAGUUGCUGAGGCUGGCUUUGAACUUGUGAUCCUCCUGCCUCAGCCUCCUGAGCUGCUGGGAUAUAGGAGUGAGCCACCGUGCCUGGCCAUUACCUUUUUCUUAUAGUUCUUAAGACAACUGUUAAAAUCCUCUACCUGCAUUUCCAACAUUCACGUCUUUUUCAGGACUGGAGCCACCUGUGAUCUCUGUUCCAGGUUUUCAGAAGCAAGCUUCUCCAACUUUGCGAUGUACACCAGUCGUGUAAGGAUCUUGUAAGAUGCAGAUUCCGACUCCAUUAGUAACAGGUGCCCAGGUGGAUGGCUCUGCAGCCCCAUGGAUCCUGGUCCAGGAGCUCAUUUCCUUGCCUUUCCUCUCCGAUUUUCAAACAGUCUGGAAUCUGUGUAGGACCACUCCCUGGGGAUUUUAUUUUAAGUACAUUAGGACGCUCGAGUUGCUCCUUUUUCCUGUAGGUCUUUAGCCAAGGCCUCUGUGGUGUAAUCACCUCUCAGUUUGCCUUUGAAGGCUGUGAACAGUGAUGGUGGACAUUCCAGCUGCGACUGUGGAUUGUACCUGGUCGACUAUGGAUUGUACUUUGGGCCAAACUAACCAGCCCUGAGGGUGUUCAGGCUAACAUGGCUUCCCCAGAAAGAGCAGGUAUUUAAACGCAAGGAAUUGAAAGAUGACUUGUGCUGUGAGGAUUUGCAAGGGUUCAACUGUAAGGGUGAUUCCUUCAAGAGAUGAUUUGGGGACACUGCAUCUCAUUAAUUUAGGUCUUUUGCUUAUGGGUCUCCGCCGGGCCAAGUGUUCGCAGUGCCCCGGCUCCAGGGCCUCCUCUGGCUCUGCAGCCUCGGGUCCAGCCUCUCUCUUCCUCCGCUUCCCUGGAAGACGCUUUCCUGCAGGGCGGCUCUCGUCCUGACUCAGGUCUUCACUCAGAGGCUCUCUUCACCCCGGCAGGAGGCAGACCUCUCCUUCCUCAGUCCAAAUCAUCUUUUAUUGUUUGGUUUAUUCAUGACACUCGUCAAUGCUCAAGCCAAGCCUGUGUGCUCAGGGGACAGGCCUGUGGGGGGUGAGUGCAGCAAACCUGGGCACAGGCGUCCUGUACCUGUGUAUUGUCAAAAGACAAAAUGGCAACACUACAGCUUCAGGGUCUUCCUUGACUUCAAAGAUGGAUUCUAAAAUCAGGGAAGACUUCACUUCAUCAAAUAGAAGGAAUGUGUUCUCGUGGGCUGUGGGAAGCCGUUCUCGCAUGUGAUUGGUCACCUCCCUGACUGGGUGUGAGGUGUUCCGGCUAAACUGUGUCAGAACUAAUCCCCACCCUUUCUAGGUGCGAGAGCCCAUCCGUGUGGGGGUGUGAUUGACCAUUGACCCUGAGACCAAUCACUGACCCUGACCUUGGAAUGCUGUCCCCCUCGACCUUCAUUGGAUGGAAUUUUCCCCUGAAUUUCUUGUUCCCCAAUAAAAGGCCACUCCCUGGCGUGCUCUCUCUCUCU